rnacentral:lncRNA from 1 species
ACCUCUUCUUGGAUCUGCUGCAGUUGUAUAAGGUGAGUCUUGGCUGCUCCUUGGUUGGGGGCAGAGCUUUCGGGAAUGAUCUUAGGAUCUUUCAAGGGUGUAACUCCUGGGGGAUGGGAGGAGCUGAGAAGCCAGGGCUGCAGCGGGAGAUGGGACCUUCCGUCUCUCGGGUGUGCUGCCCUCGGCUGGCUCCGCAGGGCCCUGGCGCAGGCUUCGGGAGCCAAGGCCGAAUGCUUCCCCUGACCCUGAAGGACCUGUGUGAGCGGCACGAGAAGGGUGUGCUGCAGAAGCACAAGCGGGCCUGGCACAAAUACAGCCUGAUGAAGAGGCAGAUGAUGAGCGCCGCCGUGCAGAACCGUGAGCCGGAGUCUGUGGAGCAGCUAGAGUCCCACAUUGUGGAGGAGGAGAAUGCGAUUCAGACCGUGGAGCUGCGGAACUACUUCUCCCUGUACUGCCUCCACCAGGAGACGCAGCUCAUCCACUUCUACCUGCCCCUCACCUCCCGCAUCCUCCAUGCCUUCGUGAACUCCCAGAUUCAAGGGCACAAGGAUGUGAGUCCCCCCUUGCUCAGGACGCUGUCUUGGCCACAGCCUUCCUUUUUUCCCUGACGCCCUUCCCUCAAGCCUGGCAGUGCGGUGGCCGGCCGCCCUCGAGAGGUUCUUUAGUGGAGUUGGGGUCCUCAUGGAACACGGUGCUCACCCAGAUCUUCUAGUCUCCUUUGUAGCCAAGGUCAGAAUCAUGAGGGUGUCCCUGUGAUUCCUGGGGGUGGAGGGAGGAAGAGACAGGGACAGUUUGCCUUCCGGAGGGAUUUGAGAAGUCAGAGGUAAAGGCUGCAGAGCUCCCGCACCCUGUGGCUGAGACAAGGGUUCUGAGUGCUUGGUAGCACUGUAGGUGGGGUGUUUGUCCAAAGAGCACUGGCCAGCUUUCUCCAGAUAGUGCUUCCUUCAGCCUUUGAGAAGAAAUGCUCUCGCAGUCCUGAGACAGGCCCCCCAGAGAGUGCUGGGAUUACAGGCGUGAGCCACCGCACCUGGUUGAGAUUGAGUUUAUUAAGUAGCUGCAAGCAGCUUUGAAGCCGUGGUCUGUGGCAUGUGUUGAAUGGUGCCUAGUGUCUGGGAUGGUCAUAAGGUUUCACGCUCUCCCCGGGAGGUGCUUGGUGCCUUGGGUGCCGUCUGGCAGUUGGGGAAUGGCAGGCCGGAGGUGGCAGUGGUGGGGCCGGAGAGGCGGAGACAGCUGCCCUUAGGAGCAUCACUUCGAGAUGGCCAGGGUCUCAGGGGACCGGGUUGGGCUUGGACAUCUGAGUGGCUGGGCAUGUCCUCAGUGAAGGAACGUGACCAACAGGUGGGGCCCUGUCCUGCCUGGGGCAUGAUGCCAUCACCCCAGUCCUACCAGUUCCUUUAUUGUGGUGAUGAGGAAUUCCUAGUCCUGUGAUGCUGAGAUGAGUGUGCUGUGCUCCAGUGACUCAGCCUCCCCUGCAGGCCCCCAGGGCUGCGCCCUGCCCAUCUCUGGCCACCUAAGCCCUUGCACGGCAGGUCUUGUCCUGACCCCUGCCUUGCUGCCACGCUCCCCUCCUCAAGUCCACAGCAUCCGUUCAUUGCCCUGGUUCCAAAAGUGUUGGUGAGUGGGGCCACUGUUUGCAUUCCGGUUUGUGUGUUAUUGAUUUGGUUUUUGUGUUUUUGGGUCGCUUUUUUGUUUUGAGAUGGAGUCUUGCUCUGUCACCCAGCCUGGAGUGUAGUGGUGCAAUUGCAGCUCACUGCAGCGUCAACCUCCUGAGAAUUUGGGACCACAGGCAUGCGCCACCACACCCAGCCAAGAUUUCUGAUUUUUUUGUGGAGACCGGGUGUCCCUCUGUGGCCCAGGCUGGCCUUGGUAUUUGACCUGCCAAAGCUUCCACGAAGCCAGUGCCUACACGGUAGCUAGAGCACGUACUGGCAGUGACCCGACAGUAACGCUUCUCGUGAUUCCACGGCAGGCAGCUUUGCCGCCCUUGGUCCUGGGUGCAGAGUCCGAGGCGUGGGCAUCUGUGACCACAGGUCACAUGAGGCCACUGGUCCACUCCUCAUUUGGACUUCCUCUGUGCAGGAUGGGCAGCACUGGCUCUGUCGGAGGUUUGAGGAGCUGACGCACCCGUGUGCCCCUCUGUCCCUGUCACUGGCAGGGGAAGGAGGGAGGGGAAGGAGUUGGGAUUAGAGCAUGGUGGGGAGCCUGGGCCCCGCCUGCUGAUCUUGUUCUCUUCGUGUUCCCUUUCAGAUGAGCAAGAUGUGGAAUGACCUGAGACUCAGGUUCAGCUGCCUCUUUGUGUACCACACAGUGCCCUGACCCCACCGCAUUCCCCACCGCAUUCCCCGCCGCAGUCCCCGCCGGAGGACGGCCUGUGUCCUCACUAGCGCGAGGCUAAGGCGCUGCUCCCUGUGGCCACACUAAACCCUCCUUGCAAACGGUGUGUCCCGUGUAAUUCUCUUUGGAUGGCAGCUCCCCUUCCCGCCAGUGCUGUAGCCAGAGCAGAUGCACUCAGCCUGCGGGCCGGGAGGUCACCCAUGGACCACAGGGCAGCUGUGCCACGCUGUCCUCCACCCCGUGGCCUGCUAGCCUGGUGGAGAGGGUUGGUGGGGUUCCUCCUGACACCCAGAGCCAUGGAGGAAGGCAGGGAUCUCUCAUCUCACAGAGAUUGUGCCUAGGGG